rnacentral:rRNA from 1 species
GACGUAGGUGGCGAGCGUUGUCCGGAAUUACUGGGCGUAAAGGGCGUGUAGGCGGCCUGCUAAGUCAGACGUGAAAUCCUUGGGCUUAACCUAGGGACUGCGUUUGAUACUGGUGGGCUUGAGGACGGGAGAGGAAAGUGGAACUCCGUGUGUAGCGGUGAAAUGCGUAGAUAUACGGAAGAACACCAGUGGCGAAGGCGACACACUGGGCCAUUACUGACGCUGAGGCGCGAAAGCGUGGGGAGCAAACAGG